AAGCGACAGGACGGGGCAGCCCGGGGCUCUGGGCCAAGGGGAGCGCAGGCACCGCGCGAGCGAAGGGACCCACGGAAAGGGGAGUCAGCGCUCUCAGAGCGCAGGGCCGUGAGCCCCGCGUUUGCGGGACCGCAGAAAAAUGACCAUGCAAUGGGGCAAUCCCUUCAACUGUUCACUGAACCAAGCCACACACCGCGCCAGCGUCCUGGUGCAGAGGUAAGAGAGUCACCGCCCCUGCCUUCCCGCAGCGUCGGGAGAAGACCGCUCUGAACAGUUUCCUAAGACGCUUCUCCCCGAAAUUUCUACUCAUCCAUCAAGACCAUCU